rnacentral:rRNA from 1 species
CUCUUGAUAAAACAUAAGAGGUCCAGCCUGCCCAGUGACAAAGUUCAACGGCCGCGGUACCCUAACCGUGCGAAGGUAGCAUAAUCACUUGUCCUUUAAAUAGGGACUUGUAUCAACGGCACCACGAGGGCUAUACUGUCUCCUUUCUCCAAUCAGUGAAACUGAUCUCCCCGUGAAGAAGCGGGGAUUCUACUAU